AAGGAUGGUUCAACCGAACUUUCAUCCAGCAAACAAGCAAAAGCUGAUUCUCACAAAGUGCAUACAACUGGUGAUCCGCAUGAGAGUAAAAUACAUACAAUUUGAUAUCUUUUCUAGUGAUCCGCUAUUUCCUGAUGAGGAAGUUCUUCAAACAAAGUGCAUCUCCAGUUUCCCUAAUGAUCCGCAUGAUAAUAAAAUACAAAUCAGAAAAGGUAUGAAACAA